UUAAGCGACUAAGCGUACACGGUGGAUGCCCUGGCAGUCAGAGGCGAUGAAGGACGUGCUAAUCUGCGAAAAGCGUCGGUAAGGUGAUAUGAACCGUUAUAACCGGCGAUGUCCGAAUGGGGAAACCCAGUGCAAUUCGUUGCACUAUCGUUAACUGAAUACAUAGGUUAACGAGGCGAACCGGGGGAACUGAAACAUCUAAGUACCCCGAGGAAAAGAAAUCAACCGAGAUUCCCCCAGUAGCGGCGAGCGAACGGGGAGCAGCCCAGAGUCUGAAUCAGCUUGUGUGUUAGUGGAACGGUCUGGAAAGUCCGACGGUACAGGGUGAUAGUCCCGUACACCAAAAUGCACAGGUUGUGAACUCGAAGAGUAGGGCGGGACACGUGGUAUCCUGUCUGAAUAUGGGGGGACCAUCCUCCAAGGCUAAAUACUCCUGACUGACCGAUAGUGAACCAGUACCGUGAGGGAAAGGCGAAAAGAACCCCGGCGAGGGGAGUGAAAAAGAACCUGAAACCGUGUACGUACAAGCAGUGGGAGCACCUUCGGGUGUGACUGCGUACCUUUUGUAUAAUGGGUCAGCGACUUAUAUUCUGUAGCAAGGUUAACCGUAUAGGGGAGCCGCAGGGAAACCGAGUCUUAACUGGGCGUUAAGUUGCAGGGUAUAGACCCGAAACCCGGUGAUCUAGCCAUGGGCAGGUUGAAGGUUGGGUAACACUAACUGGAGGACCGAACCGACUAAUGUUGAAAAAUUAGCGGAUGACUUGUGGCUGGGGGUGAAAGGCCAAUCAAACCGGGAGAUAGCUGGUUCUCCCCGAAAGCUAUUUAGGUAGCGCCUCGUGAACUCAUCUUCGGGGGUAGAGCACUGUUUCGGCUAGGGGGUCAUCCCGACUUACCAACCCGAUGCAAACUACGAAUACCGAAGAAUGUUAUCACGGGAGACACACGGCGGGUGCUAACGUCCGUCGUGAAGAGGGAAACAACCCAGACCGCCAGCUAAGGUCCCAAAGUCAUGGUUAAGUGGGAAACGAUGUGGGAAGGCACAGACAGCCAGGAUGUUGGCUUAGAAGCAGCCAUCAUUUAAAGAAAGCGUAAUAGCUCACUGGUCGAGUCGGCCUGCGCGGAAGAUGUAACGGGGCUAAACCAUGCACCGAAGCUGCGGCAGCGACGCUUAUGCGUUGUUGGGUAGGGGAGCGUUCUGUAAGCCUGCGAAGGUGACCUGUGAGGGUUGCUGGAGGUAUCAGAAGUGCGAAUGCUGACAUAAGUAACGAUAAAGCGGGUGAAAAGCCCGCUCGCCGGAAGACCAAGGGUUCCUGUCCAACGUUAAUCGGGGCAGAGUGAGUCGACCCCUAAGGCGAGGCCGAAAGGCGUAGUCGAUGGGAAACAGGUUAAUAUUCCUGUACUUGGUGUUACUGCGAAGGGGGGACGGAGAAGGCUAUGUUAGCCGGGCGACGGUUGUCCCGGUUUAAGCAUGUAGGCUGGUUGUCCAGGCAAAUCCGGAUAAUCAAGGCUGAGGUGUGAUGACGAGGCACUACGGUGCUGAAGUAACAAAUGCCCUGCUUCCAGGAAAAGCCUCUAAGCAUCAGGUAACAUCAAAUCGUACCCCAAACCGACACAGGUGGUCAGGUAGAGAAUACCAAGGCGCUUGAGAGAACUCGGGUGAAGGAACUAGGCAAAAUGGUGCCGUAACUUCGGGAGAAGGCACGCUGGUGUGUAGGUGAAGUCCCUGCGGAUGGAGCUGAGACCAGUCGAAGAUACCAGCUGGCUGCAACUGUUUAUUAAAAACACAGCACUGUGCAAACACGAAAGUGGACGUAUACGGUGUGACGCCUGCCCGGUGCCGGAAGGUUAAUUGAUGGGGUUAUCCGUAAGGAGAAGCUCUUGAUCGAAGCCCCGGUAAACGGCGGCCGUAACUAUAACGGUCCUAAGGUAGCGAAAUUCCUUGUCGGGUAAGUUCCGACCUGCACGAAUGGCGUAAUGAUGGCCAGGCUGUCUCCACCCGAGACUCAGUGAAAUUGAACUCGCUGUGAAGAUGCAGUGUACCCGCGGCAAGACGGAAAGACCCCGUGAACCUUUACUAUAGCUUGACACUGAACAUUGAGCCUUGAUGUGUAGGAUAGGUGGGAGGCUUUGAAGCGUGGACGCCAGUCUGCGUGGAGCCAACCUUGAAAUACCACCCUUUAAUGUUUGAUGUUCUAACGUUGGCCCCUUACCGGGGUUGCGGACAGUGUCUGGUGGGUAGUUUGACUGGGGCGGUCUCCUCCCAAAGCGUAACGGAGGAGCACGAAGGUUAGCUAAUCCUGGUCGGACAUCAGGAGGUUAGUGCAAUGGCAUAAGCUAGCUUGACUGCGAGCGUGACGGCGCGAGCAGGUGCGAAAGCAGGUCAUAGUGAUCCGGUGGUUCUGAAUGGAAGGGCCAUCGCUCAACGGAUAAAAGGUACUCCGGGGAUAACAGGCUGAUACCGCCCAAGAGUUCAUAUCGACGGCGGUGUUUGGCACCUCGAUGUCGGCUCAUCACAUCCUGGGGCUGAAGUAGGUCCCAAGGGUAUGGCUGUUCGCCAUUUAAAGUGGUACGCGAGCUGGGUUUAGAACGUCGUGAGACAGUUCGGUCCCUAUCUGCCGUGGGCGCUGGAGAAUUGAGGGGGGCUGCUCCUAGUACGAGAGGACCGGAGUGGACGCAUCACUGGUGUUCGGGUUGUCAUGCCAAUGGCACUGCCCGGUAGCUAAAUGCGGAAGAGAUAAGUGCUGAAAGCAUCUAAGCACGAAACUUGCCCCGAGAUGAGUUCUCCCUGAGACUUUAAGUCUCCUGAAGGAACGUUAAAGACGAUGACGUUGAUAGGCCGGGUGUGUAAGCGCAGCGAUGCGUUGAGCUAACCGGUACUAAUGAACCGUGAGGCUUAACCUU
rnacentral:rRNA from 1 species